rnacentral:rRNA from 1 species
CCUACGGGGGACAGCAGUAGGGAAUAUUGCUCAAUGGGGGAAACCCUGAAGCAGCAACGCCGCGUGGAGGAUGAAGGUUUUCGGAUUGUAAACUCCUUUUGUUAGAGAAGAUAAUGACUGUCUCUAACGAAUAAGCACCGGCUACCUCCGUGCCAGCAGCCGCGGUAAUACGGAGGUGGCAAGCGUUACUCGGAAUCACUGGGCGUAAAGAGCGCGUAGGCGGGAUAGCAAGUCAGAUGUGAAAGCCGAUGGCGUAACCAUAGAACUGCAUUUGAAACUGGUAUUCUAGAGUAUGGGAGAGGUAGGUGGAAUUCGUGGUGUAGGGGUAAAAUCCGUAGAUAUCAAGAAGAAUACUCAUUGCGAAGGCGACCUGCUAGAACAUAACUGACGCUGAUGCGCGAAAGCGUGGGUAGCAAACAGGAUUAGAUACCCUGGUAGUC